rnacentral:rRNA from 1 species
AUUGAACGCUGGCGGCAUGCCUUACACAUGCAAGUCGAACGGUAACAGGUCUUCGGAUGCUGACGAGUGGCGAACGGGUGAGUAAUACAUCGGAACGUGCCUAGUAGUGGGGGAUAACUACUCGAAAGAGUGGCUAAUACCGCAUGAGAUCUACGGAUGAAAGCAGGGGAUCGCAAGACCUUGUGCUACUAGAGCGGCCGAUGGCAGAUUAGGUAGUGGGUGGGAUAAAAGCUUACCAAGCCGACGAGCUGUAGCUGGUCUGAGAGGACGAUCAGCCACACUGGGACUGAGACACGGCCCAGACUCCCACGGGAGGCAGCAGUGGGGAAUUUUGGACAAUGGGCGCAAGCCUGAUCCAGCAAUGCCGCGUGCAGGAUGAAGGCCUUCGGGUUGUAAACUGCUUUUGAACGGAACGAAAAGCCCUGGGUUAAUACCCUGGGGUCAUGACGGUACCGUAAGAAUAAGCACCGGCUAACUACGUGCCAGCAGCCGCCGUAA